AUACGGAGGGUGCAAGCGUUACUCGGAAUCACUGGGCGUAAAGCGCGCGCAGGCGGGCUGAUAAGUUGGAUGUGAAAGCCUACGGCUCAACCGUAGAACUGCAUCCAAAACUGUCAGUCUAGAGUCUGGGAGGGGCAGAUGGAAUUAGUUGUGUAGGGGUAAAAUCCGUAGAGAUAACUAGGAAUACCAAAAGCGAAGGCGAUCUUCUGGAACAGUACUGACGCUGAGGCGCGGAAGCGUGGGGAGCAAACAGGAUUAGAAACCCCAGUAGUCC
rnacentral:rRNA from 1 species